UUUUUAUUUCUUUCUAAGUGGGUACUGGCAGGAGCCGGGGCCUAGUUUAGAGAGAAGUAGACUGAACAAGUCUCUAUAAAUUUUAUUUGUCUUAAGAAUUCUAUGAUCCGGGUAAAAACAUGUAUUGUAUAUAUCUAUUAUAAUAUACGAUGAGGAUGAUAGUGUGUAAGAGUGUACCAUUUACUAAUGUAUGUAAGUUACUAUUUACUAU
ensembl:rRNA Non-coding region located adjacent to RDN25; transcribed as part of the 35S rRNA precursor transcript; contains the primary rRNA transcription termination site at +93 and a secondary